GAUGAAGAACGUAGUGAAAUGCGAUAAGUAAUGUGAAUUGCAGAAUUCAGUGAAUCAUCGAAUCUUUGAACGCACAUUGCGCCCGCCAGUAUUCUGGCGGGCAUGCCUGUUCGAGCGUCAUUUCAACCAUCAAGCCCCCGGGCCUGUGUUGGGGACCUGCGGCUGCCCGCAGGCCCCGAAAACCAGUGGCGGGCUCGCUGUCACCCCGAGCGUAGUAGCAACACCUCGCCCAGGGAGUGCCGCGGGCACCGGCCGUAAAACCUCCUCUCGCCCCCCCCCGCGGGAGGGAACACCCCAAAGGUUGACCUCGGAUCAGGUAGGAAGACCCGCUGAACUUAAGCAUAUCAAUAAGCGGAGGA
rnacentral:misc_RNA from 1 species